CAUUUGACAUCUUCAGUUACUUCGCUUUAAAUACAGUUUUCACUUAGAGGAUUGCCCAACAAGACAGCAGCAGGAGCUGUGAAAGAGACCACCUAAACAAACAUGAAAGGGAGAUAAGUUGAAUCCAGGACUAAACACAUAUAAUCCCUGUCAAAUUGUCUUCAAUAGUGUUAAUCACUGGACAAAGACAGAAUGCUCAAGGUCUUGUGUCUUUUGCCAAUCAAUUUCCUUGGAUGACCCAGAGUCCUUAUGUAAGGAAAGUUAGUGACAAACCUCUUCAUCCACUUACUCCACACCUCGUGUUCAUUAAAUAUUUAUAUAUAAACAUCCAAAAUGCAUUAUAAACCUUUCCUUAAUGUUUCUCCAA